GAUGAACGCUGGCGGCGUGCCUAAUACAUGCAAGUCGAGCGAACAGAUGAGGAGCUUGCUCCUCUGACGUUAGCGGCGGACGGGUGAGUAACACGUGGAUAACCUACCUAUAAGACUGGGAUAACUUCGGGAAACCGGAGCUAAUACCGGAUAAUAUAUUGAACCGCAUGGUUCAAUAGUGAAAGACGGUUUUGCUGUCACUUAUAGAUGGAUCCGCGCCGCAUUAGCUAGUUGGUAAGGUAACGGCUUACCAAGGCAACGAUGCGUAGCCGACCUGAGGGGUGAUCGGCCACACUGGAACUGAGACACGGUCCAGACUCCUACGGGAGGCAGCAGUAGGGAAUCUUCCGCAAUGGGCGAAAGCCUGACGGAGCAACGCCGCGUGAGUGAUGAAGGUCUUCGGAUCGUAAAACUCUGUUAUUAGGGAAGAACAAAUGUGUAAGUAACUAUGCACGUCUUGACGGUACCUAAUCAGAAAGCCACGGCUAACUACGUGC
rnacentral:rRNA from 1 species